AGAGUUUGAUCCUGGCUCAGAUUGAACGCUGGCGGAAUGCUUUACACAUGCAAGUCGAACGGCAGCACGGGGGCAACCCUGGUGGCGAGUGGCGAACGGGUGAGUAAUACAUCGGAACGUGCCCAGUCGUGGGGGAUAACGUAGCGAAAGCUACGCUAAUACCGCAUACGAACUGAGGUUGAAAGCGGGGGAUCGCAAGACCUCGCGCGAUUGGAGCGGCCGAUGGCAGAUUAGGUAGUUGGUGGGGUAAAGGCUCACCAAGCCGACGAUCUGUAGCUGGUCUGAGAGGACGACCAGCCACACUGGGACUGAGACACGGCCCAGACUCCUACGGGAGGCAGCAGUGGGGAAUUUUGGACAAUGGGCGCAAGCCUGAUCCAGCCAUUCCGCGUGCAGGAUGAAGGCCCUCGGGUUGUAAACUGCUUUUGUACGGAACGAAAAGGCCUGAGUUAAUACCUCGGGCUCAUGACGGUACCGUAAGAAUAAGCACCGGCUAACUACGUGCCAGCAGCCGCGGUAAUACGUAGGGUGCGAGCGUUAAUCGGAAUUACUGGGCGUAAAGCGUGCGCAGGCGGUGAUGUAAGACAGGUGUGAAAUCCCCGGGCUUAACCUGGGAACUGCAUUUGUGACUGCAUCGCUGGAGUGCGGCAGAGGGGGAUGGAAUUCCGCGUGUAGCAGUGAAAUGCGUAGAUAUGCGGAGGAACACCGAUGGCGAAGGCAACCCCCUGGGCCUGCACUGACGCUCAUGCACGAAAGCGUGGGGAGCAAACAGGAUUAGAUACCCUGGUAGUCCACGCCCUAAACGAUGUCAACUGGUUGUUGGGUCUUCACUGACUCAGUAACGAAGCUAACGCGUGAAGUUGACCGCCUGGGGAGUACGGCCGCAAGGUUGAAACUUAAAGGAAUUGACGG
rnacentral:rRNA from 1 species